rnacentral:rRNA from 1 species
GAUGAACGCUGGCGGCGUGCCUAAUACAUGCAAGUCGAGCGAACAGACGAGGAGCUUGCUCCUCUGACGUUAGCGGCGGACGGGUGAGUAACACGUGGAUAACCUACCUAUAAGACUGGGAUAACUUCGGGAAACCGGAGCUAAUACCGGAUAAUAUAUUGAACCGCAUGGUUCAAUAGUGAAAGACGGUUUUGCUGUCACUUAUAGAUGUAUCCGCGCCGCAUUAGCUAGUUGGUAAGGUAACUGCUUACCAAGGCAACGAUGCGUAGCCGACCUGAGAGGGUGAUCGGCCACACUGGAACGGGGACACGGUCCAGACUCCUACGGGAGGCAGCAGUAGGGAAUCUUCCGCAAUGGGCGAAAGCCUGACGGAGCAACGCCGCGUGAGUGAUGAAGCUCUUCGGAUCGUAAAACUCUGUUAUUAGGGAAGAACAAAUGUGUAAGUAACUAUGCACGUCUUGACGGUACCUAAUCAGAAAGCCACGGCUAACUACGUGC